rnacentral:rRNA from 1 species
UUCAUUGGAGGGCAAGUCUGGUGCCAGCAGCCGCGGUAAUUCCAGCUCCAAUAGCGUAUAUUAAAAUUGUUGCAGUUAAAAAGCUCGUAGUUGAAUUUCUGCUGCAUUUCAUUUCCCUUUCUGAGUUUGUUUUUGCAGCUUAUUUCGGUUUGAUU